UGUGGGAGCGAGCUUGCUCGCGAUAGCGGUAUGUCUGUAGAUACAUGUGUUGACUGACCCGGCGCCAUCGCGAGCAAGCUCGCUCCCACA
rnacentral:misc_RNA from 1 species